UUUAUUUUUUGAAAUUUGCAAUGAAAGGCAAAUAUGGAACUUGAAAGCUUGGUUCUCUGCCAGUUUCAAUUUGAAGGAAAAAGUGGAGAUAAUUGUUGAUGAAGAGGUGUUGUUACCAAAAUUAACAAUAUGGAAUUCAUUGACUAAUAACUUUACACAACAUGGGAUACACGGUGAGUUUUUCAAACACUUUAAUGGCAUGAAGCUGCUAGGACAACUGUGUUUGAAGAAUUUUAUUAGCUUACUCUCAGGGUGCAUUAAUCAAUAUGUCUUGCAAAAUGUGAAAAACAUGCAUUCUUAUGUUUUUACUUGUGAUUUUCAAACUGGGUUAAUAUGUGUUGCUUACUGGAUAACGGUUCCACACCCAUUACAUUGGAGAUACAUUGCUGCAAAGAAUGGUGAAACGUUUGCAAUUAUUGUGGCUUCUCGGGUUACAAUUGGAGUGUCA
rnacentral:lncRNA from 1 species